CGCAGCCUGGCGUUCCCGCUUUGGGGCCGUCCGGCAACAGAGGCGCGCGAGGUGCGCGUGCGCGGCAGCGGAGGCGGUGGCGGCGCGAGGCAGAGCCAGAGCCCGGGGUCAGUCAAUCAGGUGCGGGCGGCUGGAGUAUGGCUUUGUGAGGCCUCUGAGGGGACCCGGCGGUGGCGGCCACGGCGAGACGGGCCGCCCACCAGUUGAACUCCGACAGCUGAGGCGGCUGAGGAGAUUAGACUCCAGAGAUAAUGAUAUUAGGAAAUCUAAACUGAAAUGGACCCCAGAGCAAUUGAAGAAAGAAAGAGUCAAGCUUCGAAGCUGUGGGAUGUCAGCACGGGCCAUUUGAUGAAGCCCUUCAGGUCUCGGCAGGAAGAAAGAAUGAAGAGAUCAUUAAAACCGAGAGCAUGUUUCCAAGAUCCAGAUUAUCACUCUCCAAAAGCAACUUGAGACCAUAAAACUCCUUCAACCUAUACUGGGGUAAUUCUAGUUGCCUUUACUUUGUUCUCUUUAUAGUAGUAAGCAGACAUAGAUGAUAUUAUUUGUUUACAAUUGUUCUUCCCCUCUCUGCCUUUACCAUGGAUUCUCCAUGUGUAGAAUAGACUUCCCCAAUCCAAGUGAUGUUUGGAUUGUUUAUAUGAUUUACUUUGACCAAUGAAAUGUGUACACAAUUGAGAGUAUGACGGUUUUGAGUUAAAAACCUCAAAGAAAUAUGGAAAGUUUCUGCCAAUACUCUUGCAAAUCUAUACUCUUUCAUGAGAAGAAUAUUAACUGUUGAGCAGCUGCUGGUUCCAGAAUGAAGAGACAUGCAAAAUGGACAUGCUGUCAAUUGUAGCCGGGAGCCAAGCCAGGCAAGCCCACUCAAGUCCAUUUGACCAACAUCUGACCUGUAGAUCUGUGAGAAAGAAAUAAAUAUUGUGGUUGUAAGCCAAUGAGAAUUAGAGAAGGGUCCUUGUAAGGCAGCAGUAAUGUAGAAAAUCUGAGUAAUAUAGCAGAAUAGUUUCACAGUGAUGGUCAAUAUCCAGAUGGGCUCCUUGGGAAAGAGGCUCUGAUUUGGUGAUGCAGUAAAGAUACUUAUGGUUUUGAGCAGAGGGUGGGGUUCAGAUAGUAUAAGAAGAUGAGUACCACAGAGAAUUUGUACCAAGGGUAACUCUUGAGAACAAUAAUAUCUGAGCCACAGAAGAAUGUUAGGCAAGAGCCCCCCCAAAGCACUGGUAGCUAAGAAGUCUUGAAGCUGCUAUAUGAUUAAAACCUUUUUCAAUCUCUCUCCUCUUCAAAAUUAUUUCAUUCAAUGGAAUGACUGAAAAAGAGGAACUCCAAAGGAAACAGUUAAGAAUAGCAGUAAAAUGACACUCCAUGUGUCUGAAAACAAAUUAAGAACAAUCUGAGGGAGAUAGAAGCAGUUUACUAUGAAUUGUAAUUCAGCCCAUAUUGAAGAGCAGUUUCAAAGUUAAUUAGCACUUAGAGACUUGGUAAUGAAACCUGGACAGUCAUACUGGAAUGAGGAGCAUCAUUUACACAGCUGAAGGGAAU